AGCGAACGCUGGCGGCAGGCCUAACACAUGCAAGUCGAGCGGCCCUUCGGGGCAGCGGCGGACGGGUGAGUAACGCGUGGGAACGCGCCCUUUGGUACGGAACAACUGAGGGAAACUUCAGCUAAUACCGUAUGUGCCCUACGGGGGAAAGAUUUAUCGCCAUUGGAGCGGCCCGCGUUAGAUUAGCUAGUUGGUAGGGUAAUGGCCUACCAAGGCGACGAUCUAUACCUGGUCUGAGAGGAUGAUCAGCCACACUGGGACUGAGACACGGCCCAGACUCCUACGGGAGGCAGCAGUGGGGAAUCUUGCGCAAUGGGCGAAAGCCUGACGCAGCCAUGCCGCGUGAAUGAUGAAGGUCUUAGGAUUGUAAAAUUCUUUCACCGGGGACGAUAAUGACGGUACCCGGAGAAGAAGCCCCGGCUAACUUCGUGCCAGCCGCCGCGGUAACAC
rnacentral:rRNA from 1 species